UAAUAGAGAUAGAAAAAGGGAGCUGCGGAAACAGCCCCCUCGGUAACACCGUUUAAGACGGUAGCCGUUGCCGUAUUUAUUUAUAU
rnacentral:sRNA from 1 species